rnacentral:rRNA from 1 species
UGGGGAAUUUUGGACAAUGGGGGCAACCCUGAUCCAGCCAUCCCGCGUGUGCGAUGAAGGCCUUCGGGUUGUAAAGCACUUUUGGCAGGGAAGAAACAGCCUGGGCUAAUAUCACGGGCGACUGACGGUACCUGCAGAAUAAGCACCGGCUAACUACGUGCCAGAAGCCGCGGUAAUACGUAGGGUGCAAGCGUUAAUCGGAAUUACUGGGCGUAAAGCGUGCGCAGGCGGUUCGGAAAGAAAGGUGUGAAAUCCCAGGGCUUAACCUUGGAACUGCACUUUUAACUACCGGGCUAGAGUACGUCAGAGGGGGGUAGAAUUCCACGUGUAGCAGUGAAAUGCGUAGAGAUGUGGAGGAAUACCGAUGGCGAAGGCAGCCCCCUGGGAUGAUACUGACGCUCAUGCACGAAAGCGUGGGGAGCAAACA